rnacentral:rRNA from 1 species
GUCUUUUUGAAAAUAAUUUAAAGUCUGACCUGCUCAAUGAAAAUUUAAAUAGCUGCGGUAUUUUGACCGUACUAAGGUAGCAUAAUCAAUAGUUUUUUAAUUGAAAACUGGAAUGAAAGGUUUGAUAAAAAAUAUACUGUCUCAAUUUAAAUUUAUUAAAAAUUUAUUUUUUAGUUAAAAAGCUAAAAUAAAUUUAAAAGACGAGAAGACCCUAUAGAGUUUUACUAUUAAUUAUUUAAAUAAUAAAAGAUUUGAUAUUAUUUAAAUAAAUUAAUAGUUUAAUUGGGGUGAUUGAAAAAUUUAUUAAACUUUUUUUAUUAUACUUCAAAAAUUAUUGUUUCUUUGAUCCAUAAAAAUGAUUAUAAGAUUAAAUUACCUUAGGGAUAACAGCGUAAUUUUUUUUAAGAGUUCUAAUCGAAAAAAAAGAUUGCGACCUCGAUGUUGGAUUAAAAUUAAUGUAUGGUGAAGAAACUAUAUUAUUAGGUCUGUUCGACCUUUAAAAUUUUACA